CAAAAAUUUAUUUGUCAGAACAUUAUAAUUGCUGUUUCCAUAGUUACUACAUAAUUAUAUUGUCGUGGAUACCUACUGCAACAACUAUGAUAGCAUACCUGUAGGCAGCAUAUAGGCAGCAUACCCCUGAAAAGUAAUUAAAGGAGAUGAGAUUAUUAUUCAUUCGUUGUAACAUAGUACAUAAAAUAAUUCAGUGCUUUUAAUACAUAUUUGCAUUAUCGGCGGCGAAGAUAUGAUAUCAUUACCAUAUACCAAUGUUCUACAUCGCCUUUCAGACCAAAACUUUCGUGGUCAUUUUAAAAUGACCUAUGUUAAAAGUUAGCGGAUGCAAAGAUUUGGUUAUGCAUGGGGCCUAGUUGAAUGCUCAUUUUUAACCUUUGAAUCAUUAUUACAAUUUUAGACAUUACUUUGUGGUAAAAUAACAUGAGAAAGAUUGUUUUAGUGAUUAAGUUAAAGUAAGAUUGGACAGGGGAUGUUAUGGAUUUUUAGUAUGGGAUAUGAAUACUCAGCUUUAAAAGUAAAGGUGUCGAAUACUAUUAUAGUACAUGUAUUUGUUCUAACAAGUGGUUAUUCCCUCUGAUUUAAAUGUUCAGGUUAUGUGAUUUUAGUCUGUUCAUAGAUGGUACUGCCAUAAUACGCAUGAGAUUUAAUAUAUUUUUAAAUAUUAUGAUCUUCUUUUAAUUAUAAAAUAUUUUAUCAAAA